rnacentral:misc_RNA from 1 species
GGCUCUUUCGUUUAGUGAAAAACAUGUUAGAAUGUGCAAUAGCUGUUGUUUAUUACGGAUGCACAAUAUUAUCUAAUACUCAGGUACUCCGAUUUUGUGACUGUAGCAUUUUAGGACAAAUCAGAAGUCCGGCUUUACCUGACUGACUCCAAAGAAUGUCUUCGCACAAAGUAGUUGUAACUCGCAGGACAACGACCAACAAGCGGCCUUUGUCUUUCGCCCUUCACACUGAUUACGUCAAGUCAACUCCAGGCAUUUUAAAAGCAGUGGAGACGGUAUUAGGAACUGUAUCUUUUGGAUUGCUCGCUCACUACUGCCAGCCUUCUAACCCUCUCGCUAGGAAAUGGCUUGUUGCUGAACCGGAAGAAGUCUUCUUUUUCAUGACUACUUUUGUCUGCGUCGUGAUAACAUUUCUUUUACUGUUGUCUUGCAUCGUGUCUUUUCCGACUGCGUCUUUUAUUCCGAAAACACUUUUUGAACUUCUCUACCAUUGCUUGGCCUUUAUUUUCUACCUGUGUGGUAGCCUGAGUGUACUGAUACUGGUUGCAGGUCACAAUGAAACUGCUUACUGGAGUAGCAAUUACGGAUUCGAGGGAAAAAUAACUGCAGCGGUGAUCGGACUGGUGAAUACCGCACUGUAUUUCUUUAGUGCUUUCUUUUCAUUUCGAUCCUUCAAUAGAAACUGAAAAAUCGUUCCUCUAAAAACUUUACAGAAAAAUUGACGAACAAAGACCAAAAUAAGAGUGUAUCAUUUCAAAAGGGACGUCCAUUCACAUAUUUCAAGUUUAGAAGCUAAGAGGAUAAAACUCAACAAUGCUCUUUUGUAGAAGAACAUGUCAUGUUUUCAACACUGAUCUACUUUCAAAUUUUUGUUUUAAAGAAACGUCAUUUCAACAAUGCUGUUUUGUAGGAGAACAUGCCAUCUUUUCAACAUUGACUUCCUUCAACUUUAUUUUGUAAAGAAACGUCAUUUCAUCAUUACUCUACUUCAACAAUGCUCUUUUGUAGAAGAACGUGCUACUUUUCAACAGUGCUCUAUUGUAGAAGAAUGAUCCGUUUUUUUUUCAAUAUUUAUUCUACAAGGUUGAAUAAAGUCUCCAUAUUAAAACUUUGCUACAUAAAUCCAGCCUGAUGAACUACUAACUGUGAAACUCUUGUUUUAAAAGUGAUAAGCACAACAUUUUAGACCUUAGCAAUAGCAUCGAUUAAUCCACCAUUUUCACUUAUAAACGUUUUGACCCUCAAAAUGUUAUAUUAUUGCAAUAAAACAGCGCUCUGCCAGUGAAUUAUGAUAAGAAAA